UACGGGGGGGGCAAGCGUUGUUCGGAAUUACUGGGCGUAAAGGGCUCGUAGGCGGCUAACUAAGUCAGACGUGAAAUCCCUCGGCUUAACCGGGGAACUGCGUCUGAUACUGGAUGGCUUGAGAUUGGGAGAGGGAUGCGGAAUUCCAGGUGUAGCGGUGAAAUGCGUAGAUAUCUGGAGGAACACCGGUGGCGAAGGCGGCAUCCUGGGCCAACACUGACGCUGAGGAGCGAAAGCCUGGGGAGCAAACGGG
rnacentral:rRNA from 1 species